AACGCGAAGAACCUUACCCAGGCUUGACAUCCUUGGAAUUUCUUCGAAAGAAGAAAGUGCUUUAUUGAGCCAAGUGACAGGUGUUGCAUGGCCGUCGUCAGCUCGUGUCGUGAGAUGUUUGGUUAAGUCCAUCAACGAGCGCAACCCUUGUGUUUAGUUGAAUUUCUCUAAACAGACUGCCCUGGUAACAGGGAGGAAGGAGGGGAUGAUGUCAGGUCAGUAUUACCCUUACGCCUGGGGCUACAGACACGCUACAAUGGCCGGUACAAAGGGCAGCCAAGUCGCAAGACGGAGCAAAUCCCAUCAAAGCCGGUCUCAGUUCGGAUAGUAGGCUGAAACCCGCCUACUUGAAGCCGGAAUCGCUAGUAACGGUAGGUCAGCACACUACCGUGAAUACGUUCCCGGGCCUUGUACACACCGCAUAC
rnacentral:rRNA from 1 species